CAUCCCAUAACGGGAGCGGUGAGCGGCACCGGGGACACUCAGUAGGCCGGGGCACGAGUAGGGAUGAUGGGAGCGGCGCCCGGUCGGCAGAUCUCCCGUAUAAAUCGUCUACCAUCCACGUAGAGCUCCACGUGAAGAGCUUGGGCUGUGCAGAUCCCUGUAGAUCCACGAUCUCUCCCCUACCUGAGGAUCCAGAUCACCCACGGGUAGAAUGACAGCCGGUGUUAUGCAGUGGUAAUGGGUUUGCUGUAGGGAGCUGACUAUAUUCUACAAGAGAUGAAUUCUGUCAGGUUGAGCAUGUAAGCCACCAAGAUUCUAUCUUGUCAAAAGACAGAAACAAGCCAGUGGGUGGAGACUACCUGCUCUGAUGUCUUCAAUAAACUCAGGAGAUCCUGUUCCCUUUUAUCUAUAGCACAUCCUCAGAAAUAGAGCAGUAUUGAGCAGUGUAAGCUGUAAAUCCAGUACUGGGAGUGUAGUUCUCUUUGAAGUCU